CAGACAAACUCAAAUGUCAAUUGGAUCCAUUGAAGACGAAAAUAAAGAAACAGAAACGACGAUAGAUAUGAGUGAGCAUGACACAGUGUGCAGACAAACACAAAUGUCAACUGGAUCCAAUGAAGACGAAAAUGAAGAAACAGAAACGACGAUAGAUAUGAGUGAAAAUGACAGGGGUAAAUCGGACCGAUCAAAACGAGAGAUGAAAAAAUUAACAGACGCCUUGUCGAAGAAUGACAGGCCAAGCAAACGCAAAAGACGAAAAAAUGCCAAAUGA